GAAACAAUAAAACACGCGAUGGCAGAAGAAUAAGGCACGCAAGAAGAAGACGAAGAGCCCACCCUUCCAAGACGAAGGAAGAGCUGCCAUCUCGAGUUGAGCUUGCGAGAAUUCUAUGCCAAUCAGAAGUUGAAUCAUUUCAAUUAAAUGGACAACCUCUUAGUGACACUCUCAUUCCCACGGAUUGAUUGAAGAAACAAGAUGGUAGCGGCUACUACAACAAUCCUUUUUAUGUAGCUUGGAUGCUUUGUAAUUUCUGAUGUUGUUGUUUUGAUUGUUGUUGAAACUUGUGAUAUACUAAUAUCUAUCUUUCAUAUUGUGUUGAAUUUGUUAAAUUUA